AAUGAGUUCUAAUUCGGGUUUGAUGCUGGUACCCAUUCUUUCUUGGGUGCAUGUGCUNGCCCNAACAAAUGAUUUUCCAAACACCCUGUGCACAUUUUUGAAAGGGGGGUUUUGGGUUGAUUUUGCUACCCUUGGCCCCCUAUAUUAUUANNCACUUUGUANNNNNNNNNNNNAANNNNNNNNAAGGGCAGGAUAAUAUAAUACAACUUUUAACAACGGAUCUCUUGGCUCUCGCAUCGAUGAAGGACGCAGCGAAAUGCGAUAAAUAAUGUGAAUUGCAGAAUUCAGUGAAUCAUCGAAUCUUUGAACGCACCUUGCGCUCCCUGGUAUUCCGAGGAGCACGCCUGUUCGAGUGUUGUAAAAUUUUUCAANAUUAAGGUGAUGUGAGUCUCCUUAGUCUUGGUUGUUGGGCCCUUUGCUGUGUCCCCCCUUCAUUGGGGGGUUUGGCUGGCCUUAAAAUUAUUAGCUGAUCCUGAUACGCUUGCUGGUUUUACUCAGUGUGGUAAUAAGCCUAAUCGCUGAGGGACACUGUUUUUGGUGGCCAGUUAUUCAUCUGGGUUGCUUUUAUUGUGUAUUUGGCGUUUUCUAGUUUGACCUCGAAUCAGGUGGGAUUACCCGCUGAACUUAAGCAUAUCAAUAAGCGGAGGAAAAGAAACUAACAAGGAUUCCCCUAGUAACGGCGAGUGAAGAGGGAAGAGCUCAAAUUUAAAAUCUGGCAAUCUUUGGUUGUCUGAAUUGUAAUCUAGAGAAGNGUUUUCCGUGCUGGACUGUGUNCAAGUUUCCUGGAUACGGAACAUCAUAGAGGGUGAGAAUCCCGUCCUUGACNCAGCCUCCCAGUGCUUUUGUGAUCCGCUCUCCACGAGUCGAGUUGUUUGGGAUUGCAGCUCAAAAUGGGAGGUAAAUUCCUUCUAAAGCUAAAUAUUGGCGAGAGACCGAUAGUGANCAAGUACCGUGAGGGAAAGAUGAAAAGCACUUUGGAAAGAGAGUUAANCAGUACGUGAAAUUGUUAAAAGGGAAACGCUUGAAGUCAGUCANGUUUGCUUGGANUCAGCCUANCCUUAGGUUUNGUGCAUUUCCUUGCUAACGGNCCAGCGUUCAUGUUGUUUGCUGGAAAAAGGGUGAUGGAAUGUGGCUCCUUUGGGAGUGUUAUAGCCUUCAUUCNGAUGCAGCGAAUGCUAUGGAGUUGUACAGCACACUCUUUUAUGGUGCUUGUGCUGGCAUAAUGGCUUUAAACGACCCGUCUUGAAACACGGACCAAGGAGUCUAACAUGUCUGCGAGUGUUUGGGUCCAAAACUNGAGCGCGUAAUGAAAGUGAUAGCUGC
rnacentral:rRNA from 1 species